rnacentral:rRNA from 1 species
UACGUAGGGUGCGAGCGUUGUCCGGAAUUAUUGGGCGUAAAGGGCUCGUAGGCGGUUUGUCGCGUCGGGAGUGAAAACCUUGGGCUUAACUCAGGGCUUGCUUUCGAUACGGGCAGACUAGAGGUAUGCAGGGGAGAACGGAAUUCCUGGUGUAGCGGUGAAAUGCGCAGAUAUCAGGAGGAACACCGGAGGCGAAGGCGGCUUGCUGGACCUGGUCUGACGCUGAGGCGCGAAAGCGUGGGGAGCGAACAGG